UGAAAUAGUAGUUUUCUUUAG
rnacentral:piRNA from 1 species